ensembl:ncRNA T07D1.10 ncRNA
AAUAAAGUCUCAUAACCAAAAGCGACAUGUUUCUAGCCGGACAAUCAAGAGAUUUGAGAGGGUUAUUCCGGUGCCUUGGUCCCAGCUACGAAUUCAUUCAUAUAGCUCACACGAAAUGUGAACGAGUGAGGGGUGAGAG